GUUUUUACAGAAACAGCUUUCAAAAGACACCGCGAGAGAACUGGCUAAUAUAUCUGGCAUGCCCUCGACUUCUCAAAUAUAAAGUAAACCAGAUAGAAGGCGGAGAUUGAAAGUCAAGCUCGUAAAAUAAACAUUCUAAAACAUGAAUUCAACCCAUCGAAUGGUUGCCAAACCAGAUACAAGAUUAUUGAGCCAGUUAUCGUGGAUGUUGAAACACUAUGUAAAAUAAAACAAACUCAGAAGAAAGUACCAUUUUAAUUCGUUGUAUGAGAGGAGACAAUAAUACAGUUGUAUUUCGAACUUAUUUCUUUACUAUUUCGUCACCACAAAGUUGAUCUCAAAGAAAAGGAAAUGGCAUAAAGAAGAACUGUUGGCCAAAUUGUUAACUUCAACCGCUAAGAAUUUUUGGCGAUGUAGACGUAUGAUUCUAAGGAUCAUGAUGGGAAAUAGAAGGAAGAAGGGCACUCCAAAGUUGGCCAGACAAAUAAUUAAUAAUGAAAGAUAU